GAUGAACGCUGGCGGCGUGCCUAACACAUGUAAGUCGAACGUGAGGGUGUGAGCAAUCGCACCUGAAAGUGGCGAACGGGUGAGUAACACGUGGACAACCUGCCCUGGAGUGGGGGAUAACCACUGGAAACGGUGGCUAAUACCGCAUACGACGCGUAGGAGGGGACUUCUGUGCGUGAAAGGUUAACUGCUCUGGGAGGGGUCUGCGGUCGAUUAGCUAGUUGGUGGGGUAACGGCCCACCAAGGCGAUGAUCGAUAGCUGGUCUGAGAGGAUGAUCAGCCACACGGGAACUGAGACACGGUCCCGACUCCUACGGGGGGCAGCAGUGAGGAAUAUUGCACAAUGGGGGAAACCCUGAUGCAGCAACGCCGCGUGGAGGAUGAAGGUCUUUGGAUUGUAAACUCCUUUUCUGUGGGACGAGAGAGGACGGUACCACAGGAAUAAGUCACGGCUAACUACGUG
rnacentral:rRNA from 1 species